CCUCCUCCUCCUCCUCCCAGUCCUCCUCCUCCUCCUCCUCCUCCUCCUCCUCCUCCUCCUCCUCCUCCUCCUCCCAGUGUGACCUUUGUGACCUCUGACGUUUUGCCGCAAGACUCCCUAGACUGCGAGUUCACUGUGAGUUCACUGUGACCCGAGAGGAGGUGGCCACUCAACGCUGAGGUCACACGGCUCCCUUCUUUAUGCAGAAAAGUCAAGCCAAGAGUCCCUGGAUGCUGCCAAGGAGAGAGACUGCUGCUGGAACACUGCACCAAGCCAAGCCAAGCCAAGCCAAGCCGAGCCACAACACAACAUAAGCCUUCUACAACACCUACAGCAAGACAACACCUGGAGCCAUGAAGAACAACAGUUAGGAUAGAUUAGCUAGCAGUUUGGCAUUUUUUUUUUUAAGGACAUUUUAAGACAAGUUUGGCAUGCUUUAUGGGGUAUUUUAAGACCAUUUGGCAUGAUUUUAUGGUAUUUUAAGACCAUUUGGCAUGAUUUUGAAAGCAUUUGAAGAAAGUUUGACUCAGAGGGAAUGAAGAAAUAUGUGCAUUGUUGCUUCUUGUGUGUCAGACAAAGGCCAGACGUUACCCUACGGAACGAGCUCAUUAUUUCGAUCUUCCGAUAGGCCUGAGACCAGGCACACAACACACACCGGGACAACAAGGUCACAACUCCUCGAUUUACAUCCCGUACCUACUCACUGCUAGGUGAACAGGGGCUAACACGUGAAAGGAGACACCCAAAUAUCUCCACCCGCCCGGGGAAUCGAACCCCGGUCACUUCAAAACCAGACAUUUUUAUCUUUGAAUAUUUGUUAACUUGAAAUAUUUUGUUGAAAAUUAGUGCAGAUCUUUUUAUGUUAAGUUGAAAAUUAUUUAAGUGCCAGUAGCGGCGACGGCGGCACGUAUUAGCGGGACGGCAGUGAAGGUCCAAUGCGAGGCAGUACCCCACCGCCGAGUAGCGGUAGCCGCGGGGACGGAGGCGCCGGAGUUGGUUGGGUAAGGGAGAGGGGUGGAGUCAAUGCAGGCGCAGUGCUAAGCCAGAGUCCUUCUCUGAUGGUGCAGGACGCACGGGAUCGCUGCAAUCACGGCUUCGGAUCACCAACUCCUGUAAUGGACAAAAAUUAACGCCACUUCACGGCCUCAGUCAGCCUCUCACUCGCCCUCCUCGAUCGUUAUUCCACUUACAACUCCAGUUUACAUAUACACCCUCCUCCCUCGUUCUCCUCCCAGCGUCUCCCGUGUUACGUAACAUCCUGGCCCUUAACCGUCCUAACACUCCCAUCCCUUCAUUCUCACAUCUCCCACGCCAUUCUCGGUAAACCACACCACGUCAAACCCCCUCAAACUUCAACCACACCCAAUCCUCACACCCACACCAUCAUCAUCUACCUGGUUAGUGGAAUCUUCCGUGUCUGCCGUCAUCUGUUGGUUCUCGUCGCCAAUCCGCCUCCUCACCACACCUGCCUCGCCUCUCAUCAUCACCCACUCAUCCAGCCAGUCUCCCUCAACGGCGGCAGCGGCGGUGGCGGUCGUUAAGAAGCAGCGAGUCCUUUCCCAAUCUUGCGUCGGUGGCGGAGGCAGAGGUGUGAGCGUUGUCCGUGAAGUGCAAGGUAGAAGAGGCUCAUUACCGCUGUGGAGUCAGGGCCUUUGGAUCGUCAACGCCUGUAAUGGACAAAAAAUAAGCAUGAACAAAGCAGUACCUGUUUUACUUGUUCACUAAUUAUCCCUACAGCUAACAUUGCCCUAAACACACUCCUCCACUGCCUCAAUCAGCCUUUCACUCUUCAUUCUACGUAUUCCUACCACCACCACAAAAACAUGAACAGCAGUAUCUUUUUCACUAAUUAUCUCUAAAUCUAACCCCACAUUAUCUUAACUCCUUCACUGCCUCGGCUACAUAUUUUGACCAACACCACACAUUCCCUUCACGUCUUCACAGUGCCCUAACUCAGUCAAACACUCGCACCACACCAUCCCUUCUGUCUCGACUAUUUUAUCACACUGUAUCCAUUCACGCUCACUUCCUCCCAGCCAUUCUCAACCUCCCCCACACACACAAACCCUUCCACCCUCCCCACACACACAACCCCUCCCACCGUCACUCGUGAACCUCGAACCAUUAAAGUCUGCCUACCACUUAAAGAACUAAUUUCAUGGUUAUAUCCCCAAACUUAUCGUUAUGCUACCACAUCUCGCUUCUACUGCACGUACUAUUACCUUGAAACACCAGCCUCGUUGCGUUAGGAAAUCCUGUCCACGAAAACACCACUUGUUACUACAGCCAUUACCCAAAUCUAUUCUGAACCCACGUUACUCUAACCACACUAGUGAAUGAACGACCAUCUGCCCCCUAUUGACAACUAGACAAGUAAAUUUAACACUCGUACGUACCGAUGGUUCCUGAUACAUCCUACAUACAGACACAGACAUAUCUUACAAUUAACCUUCCAAAAGACACAGUGCACAUCCUGCACAUAUCCUGUUAUCCUUUAUCAGUCAACAUUCCUAACAACCCUCAAGUUACUGAAUAACAACUUCCUAUCAUCACUGCAGUGUCAACGCACUCAACACCAACACCUAUCUAUACCUUCACUAUUCAUUUACAUACAAACCACUAAUUUCUCCUCCGCUGUGGUGUGGUGUGCUGUGCUGUGGGUUGCUGUGGGGUGGUGUGGUCCGCUAACCUCACAUCAGCAGCACGUCACCCCGCCGCACGAAAACCCUCCGUCACGCAGAUCAAGCUUCCCGUUGCUGUUCCUGCCGCUGCUGAACGUCAAACCCACGACAAAAGACGAACACUGGGCUGCGUUGACUGGAGGGGCCGCUGGUAGCGUGGUGACUGGAGAGAUGUAGCGAGCGUGGUGUCUGGAGUAAUACUGGUCCAGGCGCCAUUCUGAGCUACUGAUGUUGCUUCGUUCUCGUCUCCCGCCCCCCAACCUGCCAAUAAGGAAAGAGCAAUUUGAGGGCAAACGAGCAUAUGAACGCUGCCGGUGAACCUAACCACUGGUCCACCAUCUGGAUAUAAACUAGCCACGCUCAAUAUUUUUUUUUUUUUUUUUUUUUUUUUUACUAUGUGAGUUGUCUCAAAAUAAAGUUAAAAAUAGC